rnacentral:rRNA from 1 species
UACGUAGGGAGCGAGCGUUGUCCGGAAUCAUUGGGCGUAAAGAGCAUGUAGGUGGAUCAAUUAGUCUGCUGUGAAAGUCAAAGGCUCAACCUUUGAAAGCCGGUGGAUACUGUUGAUCUAGAGUACGGAAGAGGCGAGUGGAAUUCCUGGUGUAGCGGUGGAAUGCGCAGAUAUCAGGAGGAACACCAAUUGCGAAGGCAGCUCGCUGGGACGUAACUGACGCUGAGACGCGAAAGCGUGGGGAGCAAACAGG